AUGGUUCUCAGGCUCCUCUGCACUGUGGCCUUUUCUUUCCUGGGAGCAGUCCUCACCGAUGCAGGCGUCACCCAGAGCCCAAGAUACCUGGUCAAAAAAGAGGGAGACCACGCCUUGUUUGAAUGCUCACAGGACAUGGACCAUGAUAACAUGUUCUGGUAUCGACAGGACCCAGCGCUGGGGCUGCAGCUGCUCUACUACUCCUUCGGUGUCAAGGAUACUCAGAAAGGCGAUUUCCCUGAUGGGUACAAUGUGUCCAGGAAGGAGGAGGAACGAUUCCCCCUAAAUGUGACGUCCGCCAAGACCGAUCAGACAUCCGUACUCGCUUGA